UACAGAGGGUGCAAGCGUUAAUCGGAAUUACUGGGCGUAAAGCGCGCGUAGGUGGUUUGUUAAGUUGGAUGUGAAAUCCCCGGGCUCAACCUGGGAACUGCAUUCAAAACUGACAAGCUAGAGUAUGGUAGAGGGUGGUGGAAUUUCCUGUGUAGCGGUGAAAUGCGUAGAUAUCGGGAGGAACACCAGUGGCGAAGGCGACUACCUGGCCCAUUCUUGACGCUGAGGCGCGAAAGCUAGGGGAGCGAACGGG
rnacentral:rRNA from 1 species